UUGGGCACUCCCUGACCUGUUGAAAAGACCAGCAGCCAAAUUGUUAAUCAUUGUGAAGAUGCUCACUGUCUCCUAUGUUCAUCUCUUCUACUUUGGCCUGUGUUUGCUUACGUUAACCAGUUCAUCUGCUGCUGCUGGCCCGGAGACACUUUGUGGUGCUGAGCUGGUUGAUGCUCUUCAAUUUGUCUGUGGAGAAAGAGGUUUUUAUUUCAGUAAACCAGCAGGGUAUGGAGGCAAUAGACGUCCACCUCCAAGCAAAGGAAUAGUGGAUGAAUGCUGCUUCCAGAGCUGUGACCUGAGACGUCUGGAAAUGUACUGUGCUCCUGUCAAACCACCGAAAUCUGCACGGUCUCUACGUGCUCAGCGCCACACUGAUAUGCCUAAAGCACAAAAGGAAGUGCAUUUGAAGAACACAAGUAGAGGCAACACAGGAAACAGGAACUACAGAAUGUAAGGAAAUAUGAUCCAUAAGAGUGAAGAAUGAACGUGCCAUCUGCAGGAUACUUUACUCCCAAUCCCCAAAGCGCUCCGCCGGCACAAGCCCCAUUGAGGACCGGAGCCUUAAGCUUCCUUACACUAUACAGUAAAUGAGAACAACUUUUACUUUGAGCACUUGUUGGCUUUCCAUGGACACACAGGACAUCCAAGCAGUAAAGGGUUUGAUGCGUACAAAAAGGAAGAUUGAUUUUGCUAUUUCACAAGUCAUCCAGAACCACCAAGAUCAUGUUCCCCAGUCCAUGCAAACUGUCUAACCUGGUAAACAUUGUUCCAUUAAAAAAUAGUGUACUCACGCUUCUCAAAAGGCUCUUUUAAAGCAUUUACCACAAUAGGUCCAAAAGAUCUCAAGAGCUAGCCAUCUAAUUUUCAUUGUUUGUUUGUUUGUUUGUAUGUUUGUCUUUCUAAAUCUCAUUGAUUGCAGUUUUUAAAAGGAGCUUGGUCACACUGUAAAGGCUACAGCAACCUUUGGUUCGUAGAAUGUACUGAAAUGUUUGCAACCCUCUUAGGAUCCAGUCCAAAAUGUGAAACAUUACUGUAAGAGGGUAU